rnacentral:rRNA from 1 species
UACGUAGGGUGCAAGCGUUGUCCGGAAUUAUUGGGCGUAAAGAGCUCGUAGGCGGUUUGUCGCGUCUGCUGUGAAAACUCAGGGCUUAACCCUGAGCCUGCAGUGGGUACGGGCAGACUAGAGUGUGGUAGGGGAGAUCGGAAUUCCUGGUGUAGCGGUGGAAUGCGCAGAUAUCAGGAGGAACACCGGUGGCGAAGGCGGCUCUCUGGAACGCAACUGACGCUGAGACGCGAAAGCGUGGGGAGCAAACAGG